CUCUGCGUCUGGAGAACACAGGACGUCCACAGGAAAGUUCUCCCUCCUGCACUCCCGGCUGGCUCUGAAAAUUAUGAAGGCAGAGACGUCCGUGCCUGAUACUGUCCUGGCAGCCACGUGCCCUCAUACACUUGCCCAGACCCUGAAUGUGCUACACGGAGUGACCCCAAUUACACCGUGGGCCCCGGGUGACUGCGACAUCUCUCUUUUCCUUAAAAUAAAGGCUCUAAAAUUGUGUGAUUCCACCUCCCUGAGGCUAAGCGAAAGAGCCGCGUCUGCCCCUGUCCUUCCCGGGGGCUGGCAGGGAGUGGGUGCCCGGCGGUGACUCAGCCCUGCAGCCUCCCAGCCCUUCCCCGUAUGCGGGCAGGUGAUGCGGACGCCUCCGACCCUCGUGGGGUUUGUGGAGAGCGUUGAUCAGCGCUGCCGUCAGAACAGGACCUGUGCGAGGCCUCGCAGAUGCCGGGAGCCGGGCGGUGCUCUCGGUGCUUCUCAUCAAAUCCACUGGCUCUUCGAGAGGAAGCACAUGUCACAGCCCAGCUCAAACAAGAAGCAAGAAAAUCACUCUUCAUUUUGGAAUUGUAAAAUAAAGUAGAAAUUAUCCUCAGGCUAGAGUGACCUUCCCGUCCUGCCCCAGCCACCCCCCACCUCCCAGCACCUGCCGGUAACAGCCCUGCACACAGCCCCGAGACCCUCCGCCAAACCCAGCCCACCACCCCCGGGAGGGCUGUGGAAGAGGCUAGAGAGCGCAUCCCCUCUGGCUCCUGGGGUGGAGGCCUGCUGUGGGUUGGCUGGAAUCAGCCCCCCUCCCCCGUGUCCUGGGCCCCUGCAGCCCUGCGAGGCGGACACCUAGCCACCCCUCAUCCCAGGGAAGCCAGGGCCAGGGAAGGGCCCAGGAGGGGAGGGUUCGCCCUUCCUGCUGGAUGUCGUUCCUUUAAAAAUCCCUGCCGCUGGCCGGGCGUGGUGGCUCACGCCUGGAAUCCCAGCACUUU
rnacentral:lncRNA from 1 species